CUAGGGCUGGCGGCUUCCUGUAGCA
rnacentral:misc_RNA from 1 species